rnacentral:rRNA from 1 species
GACGAACGCUGGCGGCGUGCUUAACACAUGCAAGUCGAACGGUGAAGCGCCUUCCUUUUUGGUGGGUGUGGAUGAGUGGCGAACGGGUGAGUAACACGUGAGUAACCUGCCCCCUUCUUCUGGAUAACCGCAUGAAAGUGUGGCUAAUACGGGAUAUUUUGGGUCUGUCGCAUGAUGGGUCUGGGAAAGAUAUUGUUUCGGUGGGGGAUGGGCUCGCGGCCUAUCAGCUUGUUGGUGGGGUGAUGGCCUACCAAGGCGGUGACGGGUAGCCGGCCUGAGAGGGUGGACGGUCACACUGGGACUGAGACACGGCCCAGACUCCUACGGGAGGCAGCAGUGGGGAAUAUUGCACAAUGGGCGCAAGCCUGAUGCAGCGACGCCGCGUGAGGGAUGGAGGCCUUCGGGUUGUGAACCUCUUUCGCCAGUGAAGCAGGCCUGCCUCGUUUGUGGGUGGGUUGACGGUAGCUGGAUAAGAAGCGCCGGCUAACUACGUG